rnacentral:lncRNA from 10 species
CCCCCAUAUCUGAUGGAAGUCAUUGGGAACCCUAGAGCCUGCCAGCAGGCUGUGACCUCUGGGACCCUCCUGGAACCACGCAUUUGUCCAUGGCUGGCUGCUCUUUGACUUCUGAUUCCUGUUGCAGGGUCUCCUUGCUUGGUGAGCCUGGUGGUUGACCAUCAGCUCUGGCAUCGUGGGGCCCACACCAGCCGGGCUAGCCUCCCAUCCGCUGGAAAACAUGGGAGUACUGAGCAUCAAUUCCUCCUUAGUCUUGCAACAGGAUGGAACAGUUCCCAGGGCGCUGGCACUUCCAUUGGCAGCAGCAGAAGAACCAAAAUAGGACACACCAAAUGGAUCUAAUUUUGCCUGAACCUCAGUCUGCAAGGAUCAUGAUUUGCCAUCUGGGCACGAGCUUAGGGAAGCUCUGGGAACAGCUCUACUCCCAGAAACCUGGGUGAAAAUCAUCUAGACCCAGCAGGGAAGUCUCUGCGUCAGUGGGGCCUUGCUGGGCUGCCCUCCCGGUCCCCACAGCUGUUUCAAGGAGGGGCCUGAACACCAGGCCCUGGAAAACCCAACGAUGAUGUUGCUGGAGUUGGUCCCAGGGCUCACUCUGGGACAGGCAUGGGCUCCUCCUCUCCACUGGUGGGGGCUCCCAUUCGCUGGAUCCAACCAGACAGAGCAGGACAGUUCCUGGAGCCCCAGAAGAGUGGCGAGUGGAGGAGUGAUCUGCUGGGGAAUGGAGUUGCAUCAGAAGAUAUGGAACCAUUGAGAGGACCUUUCUUGGUGAAUGGCCAGGUGUGCCUUUGGGAAGGGUCUCUCCCACCCACUGUGGCUUGGAGCAGGCCCUCCCUGGACAGCGGCUCCGUUCCUGCUGAGUGAAAAGGAAGAAGCACUUGGCUCUCCCCACAGGAGGUGCAUGAAGAUUAAUUAGUGACCACUCUAUAAUGCCACAGUCAUGCUCAGAUGUCUUGCUAUAGCUGAAAUCAUUUCUGCAGCAACCUCUUGGAAUUACCUUGUAGAAGAAGCCCAG